CCGGCGCACGGGUGAGUAACACGUAUCCAACCUGCCGUCUACUCUUGGCCAGCCUUCUGAAAGGAAGAUUAAUCCAGGAUGGGAUCAUGAGUUCACAUGUCCGCAUGAUUAAAGGUAUUUUCCGGUAGACGAUGGGGAUGCGUUCCAUUAGAUAGUAGGCGGGGUAACGCCCACCUAGUCUUCGAUGGAUAGGGGUUCUGAGAGGAAGGUCCCCCACAUUGGAACUGAGACACGGUCCAA
rnacentral:rRNA from 1 species